rnacentral:misc_RNA from 1 species
UGAUGGCAUUCACAUUUGGGGACCUUUACAGGAGGUUCAAGCCACACCUGCUCAUGGUUCUUGCUCAGAUUGGCUAUACUUUUCUCUACUUCAUCACUGAAGCUUCCUUCGAACAUGGGAUGAAUCCUCAUGUCUACAUAACUUAUCGACACAUCGUCGCUGGUGUAGUGAUGCUCCCUUUUGCCUAUUUUCUUGAAAGAAAACAGCGUCCAAAGCUGACGAUAGCUCUUUUUGUGGAGAUAUUCAUCCUCUCUCUCCUGGGGUAAUUAACGACACACACGCAUUCACCUGG